rnacentral:lncRNA from 1 species
UGGAAUAUUAAAUCAAACGUUAUGAUUAGAUAGGAUUUUAGUUUAGAAAGUCAAGUCAAGAUAGGAGUUCGUAUCAUCAUUGUAGUCAAAGUCUUAAGUUUACCUCUCUAUAAAUAUGGAUGCAUGUAAUGCUUUAGGAAUACAACAAAGAGAAAAGAUAAAUUAAAGCAAAGGCUUACAGAUUAUGAGAUAUUAUAAAGUUUUAAU